rnacentral:rRNA from 1 species
GACGAACGUUGGCGGCGUGCUUAAUACAUGCAAGUCAACUGAAGCAGUGGUAGCAAUAUCGCUGUGGAGGUGGCGCACGGGUGAGUAACACGUAGGUAAUCUGCCUUCAGGUCUGGCAUAACUCCGGGAAACCGGGGCUAAUAGCAGAUGAUGCAGCGGCUCGACAUCGAGACAGUUGUUAAAGCUAUGGCGCCUGAUGAUGAGCCUGCGUCUGAUUAGCUAGUUGGCGGGGUAACGGCCCACCAAGGCAACGAUCAGUAGCUGGUCUGAGAGGAUGAUCAGCCACACUGGAACUGAGACACGGUCCAGACUCCUACGGGAGGCAGCAGUAAGGAAUAUUGCUCAAUGGGAGAAAUCCUGAAGCAGCAACGCCGCGUGAGGGACGAAGGGCUUUUGCUUGUAAACCUCUGUAGUGAGAGAAAAAAAUCCCAAUCUUUGGGACAUGAUGGUAUCUCAAAAGUAAGCCCCGGCUAACUACGUG